UGCUGUGAGCUCGAUGAGUAGGGCGGGACACGUGGUAUCCUGUCUGAAUAUGGGGGGACCAUCCUCCAAGGCUAAAUACUCCUGACUGACCGAUAGUGAACCAGUACCGUGAGGGAAAGGCGAAAAGAACCCCGGCGAGGGGAGUGAAAAAGAACCUGAAACCGUGUACGUACAAGCAGUGGGAGCACAGGUUUACCUGUGUGACUGCGUACCUUUUGUAUAAUGGGUCAGCGACUUAUAUUCUGUAGCAAGGUUAACCGAAUAGGGGAGCCGGAGGGAAACCGAGUCUUAAUUGGGCGUUAAGUUGCAGGGUAUAGACCCGAAACCCGGUGAUCUAGCCAUGGGCAGGUUGAAGGUUGGGUAACACUAACUGGAGGACCGAACCGACUAAUGUUGAAAAAUUAGCGGAUGACCUGUGGCUGGGGGUGAAAGGCCAAUCAAACCGGGAGAUAGCUGGUUCUCCCCGAAAGCUAUUUAGGUAGCGCCUCGUGAAUUCAUCUCCGGGGGUAGAGCACUGUUUCGGCUAGGGGGCCAUCCCGGCUUACCAACCCGAUGCAAACUGCGAAUACCGGAGAAUGUUAUCACGGGAGACACACGGCGGGUGCUAACGUCCGUCGUGAAGAGGGAAACAACCCAGACCGCCAGCUAAGGUCCCAAAGUCAUGGUUAAGUGGGAAACGAUGUGGGAAGGCCCAGACAGCCAGGAUGUUGGCUUAGAAGCAGCCAUCAUUUAAAGAAAGCGUAAUAGCUCACUGGUCGAGUCGGCCUGCGCGGAAGAUGUAACGGGGCUAAACCAUGCACCGAAGCUGCGGCAGCGACGCUUAUGCGUUGUUGGGUAGGGGAGCGUUCUGUAAGCCUGUGAAGGUGGCCUGUGAGGGUUGCUGGAGGUAUCAGAAGUGCGAAUGCUGACAUAAGUAACGAUAAAGCGGGUGAAAAGCCCGCUCGCCGGAAGACCAAGGGUUCCUGUCCAACGUUAAUCGGGGCAGGGUGAGUCGACCCCUAAGGCGAGGCCGAAAGGCGUAGUCGAUGGGAAACGGGUUAAUAUUCCCGUACUUGGUGUUACUGCGAAGGGGGGACGGAGAAGGCUAUGUUGGCCGGGCGACGGUUGUCCCGGUUUAAGCGUGUAGGUGUGUGUUCCAGGUAAAUCCGGUUCACUUUAACACUGAGGCGUGAUGACGAGGCACUACGGUGCUGAAGCAACAAAUGCCCUGCUUCCAGGAAAAGCCUCUAAGCAUCAGGUAACAUCAAAUCGUACCCCAAACCGACACAGGUGGUCAGGUAGAGAAUACCAAGGCGCUUGAGAGAACUCGGGUGAAGGAACUAGGCAAAAUGGUGCCGUAACUUCGGGAGAAGGCACGCUGACACGUAGGUGAAGUGAUUUACUCAUGGAGCUGAAGUCAGU
rnacentral:rRNA from 1 species